rnacentral:rRNA from 1 species
CACGUAGGGCGCAAGCGUUGUCCGGAAUUAUUGGGCGUAAAGGAGCUCGUAGCGGUCUGUUGCGUCCGCUGUGAAAACUCGGGGCUUAACCCCGAGCCUGCAGUGGAUACGGGCAGACUAGAGGUAGGUAGGGGAGAAUGGAAUUCCCGGUGUAGCGGUGAAAUGCGCAGAUAUCGGGAGGAACACCGGUGGCGAAGGCGGUUCUCUGGGCCUUACCUGACGCUGAGGAGCGAAAGCGUGGGGAGCGAACAGG